GGGCAUGUGGUUUAGUGGUAUAACAUUCGCUUAGCAUAUGGCUUGCGAAAGGUCCGGCGUUCAAUUCGCCGCUUGUCCA